rnacentral:sRNA from 1 species
UCAGUUGCAAUGAAUGGCAGUUCUAAUGAUACAAGUCUCAGGAUGUUUCUGUCCAAUAGAAAUUUCUUAAAAUUGACCUGCUUAUCGUCUUUCAUUUGGUUUGUAGACGCCAUUGCUUACGACGGUCUUCUGAUGAUUGCACCAGGUUUGACUGAUAACUUUUACCUGGGAUUCGCUCUUGGAGUUAUCACAGACAUUCCUGCAACUGUUAUCUUCUGUCUUUUAAUCAAUAGAAUUGAUCGAAAAAAAAUUAUAAGUAUAUUUCACCUACUUGCUGGAAUUUGUUUACUGAUAGCAACCAUCAUACUGAAUACACCGCUAGCUGAUAAAAUCCCGGGAAAUUAUUGGUUUUCCUUGGUCCUGUCAUUACUUGGCAGAAGUGACUUUAUCCGUUGGCUACUCAACGGUCACUCUGUACGUGUCUGAAGUGUUCCCUACGUCUGUUAGAAGUACAGGAUAUGGAAUGACAUCUAUUUUUAACUAUUCAGGGUCCCUCGUGGCCCCGUAUUCUCGAACAGUGAGCAGGCACGUACCGUAUGUUCCUAACGUUGUAUUCGGGGUGAUGUGUGUGAUGGUACCAGCAGCCACGGUACUCCUUCCAGAAACACGAGGAGUUGAACUUGCUCAGACACUAGCCGAAACGGAUAAGAGGAUGGCGAAGGAAACUAUCGCUAAAGAAGAAAACUAACGCUAACAAGGGAAACUAUUGCUAAAGAAGAAAACUUUCGCUAACAAGGGAAACUAUCGCUAAUAAGGGAAACUAUCGCUAAAGAAGAAAACUUUCGCUAACAAGGGAAACUAUCGCUAAAGAAGAAAACUUUCGCUAACAAGGGAAACUAUCGCUAACAAGGGAAACUAACACUAACAAGGGAAACUAUCGCUAACAAGGGAAACUAUCGCUAACAAGGGAAACUAUCGCUAAAGAAGAAAACUUUCGCUAACAAGGGAAACUAUCGCUAACAAGGGAAACUAUCCUAAGAAAGAAAACUAUCACUAACAAAGUAAAACUAUCGCUAACGAAGAAAACUAUCGCUUACAAAGUAAAACUAUCGCUAACAAAGUAAAACUAUCGCUAACGAAGAAAACUAUCCUAACAAAGAAAAACUAUCGCUAACAAAGAAAACUAUCACUUACAAAGUAAAACUAUCGCCAACGAAGAAAACUAUCUUGAUAAAGAAAAACUAUCGCUAAUGAAGAAAACUAUCCCAACAAAGAAAAACUAUCGCUAACAAAGAAAACUAUCACUUACAAAGUAAAACUAUCGCCAACGAAGAAAACUAUCUUGAUAAAGAAAAACUAUCGCUAACAAAGAAAACCAUCGCUCACGAAGUAAAACUACCUAUAGCGUAGAAAUUAUCCUAACACAGUAAAACUAUCUCUAACGAAGAAAACUAUCC